GACGAACGAUGGCGGCGUGCUUAACACAUGCAAGUCGAACGAAGUGGCGAACGGGUGAGUAACGCGUAAUCAACCUGCCCUUCAGAGGGGGACAACAGUUGGAAACGACUGCUAAUACCGCAUACUGAAGGAGGGGAUUGCGUCUGAUUAGCUAGUUGGAGGGGUAACGGCCCACCAAGGCGAUGAUCAGUAGCCAGUUGGAGAGGAAGAACCGCCACAAUGGGGCUGGAACACGGCCAAGACUUCGACGGGAGGCAGCAGUGGGGAAUCUUCCGGAAUGGACGAAAGUCUGACGGAGCAACGCCGAGUGAGUGAUGACGGCCUUCGGGUUGUAAAGCUCUGUUAAUCGGGACGCGGUACCGGAAUAGAAAGCCACGGCUAACUACGUGCCAGCCGCCGCGGUAAUAC
rnacentral:rRNA from 1 species